GACGAACGCUGGCGGCGUGCCUAAUACAUGCAAGUUGAGCGCUGAAGGUUGGUACUUGUACCAACUGGGUGAGCAGCGAACGGGUGAGUAACGCGUGGGGAAUCUGCCUUUGAGCGGGGGACAACAUCUGGAAACGAAUGCUAAUACCGCAUAAAAACUUUAAACACAAGUUUUAAGUUUGAAAGAUGCAAUUGCAUCACUCAAAGAUGAUCCCGCGUUGUAUUAGCUAGUUGGUGAGGUAAAGGCUCACCAAGGCGAGGAUACAUAGCCGACCUGAGAGGGUGAUCGGCCACAUUGGGACUGAGACCCGGCCCAAACUCCUGCGGGAGGCAGCAGUAGGGAAUCUUCGGCCAUGGACCAAAGUCUGACCGAGCAACGCCGCGUGAGUGAAGAAGGUUUUCGGGUCGUAAAACUCUGUAGGUAGAGAAGAACGUUGGUGGGAGUGGAAAGCUCAUCCAGUGACGGUAACUACCCAGAAAGGGACGGCUAACUACGUG
rnacentral:rRNA from 1 species